rnacentral:tRNA from 2 species
GCGAUUUUAGUUUAUUUAGAAUGUUGGUUUGUCUAACCUAUGGUGGUGUUUAUCAAGUCGCU